UGCGUAGGCGGACUAAUAAGUCAGUGGUGAAAUCUCUCGGCUCAACCGGGAAACUGCCAUUGAUACUGUUAGUCUUGAGUUCGGUUGAGGUAGGCGGAAUGUGUAAUGUAGCGGUGAAAUGCUUAGAUAUUACACAGAACACCAAUUGCGUAGGCAGCUUACUAGACCGACACUGACGCUGAGGCACGGAAGCGUGGGUAGCGAACAGGAUUAGAUACCCUGGUAGUCC
rnacentral:rRNA from 1 species